rnacentral:rRNA from 1 species
UUGUCUUACACAUGCAAGUCGGGCGGAUCUCUUUAAUUGCAGCAAUAGCAAUUAAAGAGAUCGAGCGGCAAACGGGUGAGUAAUGGAUAGGUAAUCUACCAUAAUGACUGGAUACCCCCUUGAAAAAGGGAUCAAUACCAGAUAAUGUCAGUUUAAAUACUUUUAAACUGAAGAAAGAUGGCCCAAAGCUAUCACAUUAUGAUGAGCCUAUCUCCUAUCAGCUUGUUGGUGAGGUAAUGGCUCACCAAGGCUAUGACGGGUAGGCUGGUCUGAGAGGAUGGUCAGCCACACUGGAACUUAGAUACGGUCCAGACUCCUACGGGAGGGCAGCAGUGGGGAAUCUUGGGCAAUGGGCGAAAGCCUGACCCAGCGACACUGCGUGGGUGAUGAAGAUCUUUGGAUUGUAAAACCCUUUUCCUGAAGAUGAAAGGUAGGAUUGAGAAUAUCCUUCCUACCCUGACAGUAUUCAGGGAAUAAGCCCCAGCCAACUACGUG